rnacentral:rRNA from 1 species
AAGCCCAAAAAGCCUAUGAAUAAUAGUGCACCCCAUUUUCCAAUCAUUUGAGGGUCUUGGGAUACUUGAUGUUAAGCCUCCUUGGGUUUGAAUAGUACUGGGCUGGGUGACCUCUCGAGAAAUCCAAAUUUAGGGAUUU